UAAUCAGCUCCUGCACCUAUUUCCCUGCAUCUACUUUGCCUGCGGCCUCCGGGACUUUGUCUCCAGAAAGACACCCGCAGAUAAGGGCAGGAAAACUCCCAACGGCUCUCCCGUUGAAGAUCCCAAGAUCCAUUCCAGGACCUGAAACCCUCCGGUACUGUCAACUUCAAGUUCUUGACCACCUGGAAAUCUGUUUUUUCUACCCCUGACCCUAUCGGCUCUUCUUUGAACCUCAAAGACUCCUCACCAGAGCCUUUUGAAUUUUCCUCUGUUGUCGCGCACCACUGAGACAACCAGAAGGACCUAACACAUUUUACAGAAAAGAAAAAUGAGCUGUCAAAAGGCAAAGUGGAAUAUUUUCCCUGGGCCAGUGGGGACUAAGCAGCUUUCUUUGUUUACGUUUUGCCGUUCAUUCACGAUCAUUCAGCUGGCCUCUCCGUCUCUCCUCCAACCCAAAGACAGUAGCUCACCCUAGCAAUUCCCGACUCGGGAAGGCUCUAUCUGACGAAUGACUUAA